UUAAGCGACUAAGCGUACACGGUGGAUGCCCUGGCAGUCAGAGGCGAUGAAGGACGUGCUAAUCUGCGAUAAGCGUCGGUAAGGUGAUAUGAACCGUUAUAACCGGCGAUUUCCGAAUGGGGAAACCCAGUGUGUUUCGACACACUAUCAUUAACUGAAUCCAUAGGUUAAUGAGGCGAACCGGGGGAACUGAAACAUCUAAGUACCCCGAGGAAAAGAAAUCAACCGAGAUUCCCCCAGUAGCGGCGAGCGAACGGGGAGCAGCCCAGAGCCUGAAUCAGUGUGUGUGUUAGUGGAAGCGUCUGGAAAGGCGCGCGAUACAGGGUGACAGCCCCGUACACAAAAAUGCACAUACUGUGAGCUCGAUGAGUAGGGCGGGACACGUGGUAUCCUGUCUGAAUAUGGGGGGACCAUCCUCCAAGGCUAAAUACUCCUGACUGACCGAUAGUGAACCAGUACCGUGAGGGAAAGGCGAAAAGAACCCCGGCGAGGGGAGUGAAAAAGAACCUGAAACCGUGUACGUACAAGCAGUGGGAGCACGCUUAGGCGUGUGACUGCGUACCUUUUGUAUAAUGGGUCAGCGACUUAUAUUCUGUAGCAAGGUUAACCGAAUAGGGGAGCCGAAGGGAAACCGAGUCUUAACUGGGCGUUAAGUUGCAGGGUAUAGACCCGAAACCCGGUGAUCUAGCCAUGGGCAGGUUGAAGGUUGGGUAACACUAACUGGAGGACCGAACCGACUAAUGUUGAAAAAUUAGCGGAUGACUUGUGGCUGGGGGUGAAAGGCCAAUCAAACCGGGAGAUAGCUGGUUCUCCCCGAAAGCUAUUUAGGUAGCGCCUCGUGAAUUCAUCUCCGGGGGUAGAGCACUGUUUCGGCAAGGGGGUCAUCCCGACUUACCAACCCGAUGCAAACUGCGAAUACCGGAGAAUGUUAUCACGGGAGACACACGGCGGGUGCUAACGUCCGUCGUGAAGAGGGAAACAACCCAGACCGCCAGCUAAGGUCCCAAAGUCAUGGUUAAGUGGGAAACGAUGUGGGAAGGCCCAGACAGCCAGGAUGUUGGCUUAGAAGCAGCCAUCAUUUAAAGAAAGCGUAAUAGCUCACUGGUCGAGUCGGCCUGCGCGGAAGAUGUAACGGGGCUAAACCAUGCACCGAAGCUGCGGCAGCGACGCUUAUGCGUUGUUGGGUAGGGGAGCGUUCUGUAAGCCUGCGAAGGUGUGCUGUGAGGCAUGCUGGAGGUAUCAGAAGUGCGAAUGCUGACAUAAGUAACGAUAAAGCGGGUGAAAAGCCCGCUCGCCGGAAGACCAAGGGUUCCUGUCCAACGUUAAUCGGGGCAGGGUGAGUCGACCCCUAAGGCGAGGCCGAAAGGCGUAGUCGAUGGGAAACAGGUUAAUAUUCCUGUACUUGGUGUUACUGCGAAGGGGGGACGGAGAAGGCUAUGUUGGCCGGGCGACGGUUGUCCCGGUUUAAGCGUGUAGGCUGGUUUUCCAGGCAAAUCCGGAAAAUCAAGGCUGAGGCGUGAUGACGAGGCACUACGGUGCUGAAGCAACAAAUGCCCUGCUUCCAGGAAAAGCCUCUAAGCAUCAGGUAACAUCAAAUCGUACCCCAAACCGACACAGGUGGUCAGGUAGAGAAUACCAAGGCGCUUGAGAGAACUCGGGUGAAGGAACUAGGCAAAAUGGUGCCGUAACUUCGGGAGAAGGCACGCUGAUAUGUAGGUGAGGUCCCUCGCGGAUGGAGCUGAAAUCAGUCGAAGAUACCAGCUGGCUGCAACUGUUUAUUAAAAACACAGCACUGUGCAAACACGAAAGUGGACGUAUACGGUGUGACGCCUGCCCGGUGCCGGAAGGUUAAUUGAUGGGGUUAGCGCAAGCGAAGCUCUUGAUCGAAGCCCCGGUAAACGGCGGCCGUAACUAUAACGGUCCUAAGGUAGCGAAAUUCCUUGUCGGGUAAGUUCCGACCUGCACGAAUGGCGUAAUGAUGGCCAGGCUGUCUCCACCCGAGACUCAGUGAAAUUGAACUCGCUGUGAAGAUGCAGUGUACCCGCGGCAAGACGGAAAGACCCCGUGAACCUUUACUAUAGCUUGACACUGAACAUUGAGCCUUGAUGUGUAGGAUAGGUGGGAGGCUUAGAAGUGUGGACGCCAGUCUGCAUGGAGCCGACCUUGAAAUACCACCCUUUAAUGUUUGAUGUUCUAACGUUGACCCGUAAUCCGGGUUGCGGACAGUGUCUGGUGGGUAGUUUGACUGGGGCGGUCUCCUCCUAAAGAGUAACGGAGGAGCACGAAGGUUGGCUAAUCCUGGUCGGACAUCAGGAGGUUAGUGCAAUGGCAUAAGCCAGCUUGACUGCGAGCGUGACGGCGCGAGCAGGUGCGAAAGCAGGUCAUAGUGAUCCGGUGGUUCUGAAUGGAAGGGCCAUCGCUCAACGGAUAAAAGGUACUCCGGGGAUAACAGGCUGAUACCGCCCAAGAGUUCAUAUCGACGGCGGUGUUUGGCACCUCGAUGUCGGCUCAUCACAUCCUGGGGCUGAAGUAGGUCCCAAGGGUAUGGCUGUUCGCCAUUUAAAGUGGUACGCGAGCUGGGUUUAGAACGUCGUGAGACAGUUCGGUCCCUAUCUGCCGUGGGCGCUGGAGAACUGAGGGGGGCUGCUCCUAGUACGAGAGGACCGGAGUGGACGCAUCACUGGUGUUCGGGUUGUCAUGCCAAUGGCACUGCCCGGUAGCUAAAUGCGGAAGAGAUAAGUGCUGAAAGCAUCUAAGCACGAAACUUGCCCCGAGAUGAGUUCUCCCUGACUCCUUGAGAGUCCUGAAGGAACGUUGAAGACGACGACGUUGAUAGGCCGGGUGUGUAAGCGCAGCGAUGCGUUGAGCUAACCGGUACUAAUGAACCGUGAGGCUUAACCUU
rnacentral:rRNA from 1 species